rnacentral:rRNA from 1 species
AACGAACGCUGGCGGCGCGCCUAAUACAUGCAAGUCGAGCGAGAAGACGUAGCAAUACGUUUGUAAAGCGGCGAACGGGUGAGGAAUACAUGGGUAACCUACCCUCGAGUGGGGAAUAACUAGCCGAAAGGUUAGCUAAUACCGCGUACGCUCCUUGGACUUCGGUUCAGGGAGGAAAGCGAUACCGUGGGUAUCGCGCUCUUGGAUGGGGCUCAUGUCCUAUCAGCUUGUUGGUGAGGUAACGGCUCACCAAGGCUUCGACGGGUAGCUGGUCUGAGAGGACGAUCAGCCACACUGGCACUGCGACACGGGCCAGACUCCUACGGGAGGCAGCAGUAAGGAAUAUUGCGCAAUGGGCGAAAGCCUGACGCAGCGACGCCGCGGU